rnacentral:rRNA from 1 species
GACGAACGCUGGCGGCGUGCUUAACACAUGCAAGUCGAACGGAAAGGCCCUGCUUUUGUGGGGUGCUCGAGUGGCGAACGGGUGAGUAACACGUGAGUAACCUGCCCUUGACUUUGGGAUAACUUCAGGAAACUGGGGCUAAUACCGGAUAGGAGCUCCUGCUGCAUGGUGGGGGUUGGAAAGUUUCGGCGGUUGGGGAUGGACUCGCGGCUUAUCAGCUUGUUGGUGGGGUAGUGGCUUACCAAGGCUUUGACGGGUAGCCGGCCUGAGAGGGUGACCGGCCACAGGGACGCAGAAAGGCGCCGAAGACUCCGGGGGGGAGCAGGGGGGGAAAAUUUCACACAGUGGGGGGGCGGUGUACGCAACCGCGCGGGGGGGGGGAAGGCCGUUUGGGGGUUAAACCCCGUUUCCGCGUGAGAAGAGGGGUGGGAGGGGAUAGGGGAAAAAGAACCCGCGGAACAACGG